rnacentral:rRNA from 1 species
GACGAACGCUGGCGGCGUGCUUAACACAUGCAAGUCGGACGAAGAGCGAUGGAAGCUUGCUUCUAUCAAUCUUAGUGGCGAACGGGUGAGUAACGCGUAAUCAACCUGCCCUUCAGAGGGGGACAACAGUUGGAAACGACUGCUAAUACCGCAUACGAUCUAAUCUCGGCAUCGAGGAUAGAUGAAAGGUGGCCUCUACAUGUAAGCUAUCACUGAAGGAGGGGAUUGCGUCUGAUUAGCUAGUUGGAGGGGUAACGGCCCACCAAGGCGAUGAUCAGUAGCCGGUCUGAGAGGAUGAACGGCCACAUUGGGACUGAGACACGGCCCAGACUCCUACGGGAGGCAGCAGUGGGGAAUCUUCCGCAAUGGACGAAAGUCUGACGGAGCAACGCCGCGUGAGUGAUGACGGCCUUCGGGUUGUAAAGCUCUGUUAAUCGGGACGAAAGGCCUUCUUGCGAAUAGUGAGAAGGAUUGACGGUACCGGAAUAGAAAGCCACGGCUAACUACGUG